UACAGAGGGCGCGAGCGUUGUCCGGAAUCACUGGGCGUAAAGGGCGCGUAGGUGGCCACUAUAAGGCUGCGGUGAAAGUUCGGGGCUCAACCCCGAAUCUGCCGCGGCGACUGUAGGGCUUGGGCACCGUAGAGGCAGAUGGAAUUCCGGGUGUAGCGGUGGAAUGCGCAGAUAUCAGGAGGAACACCAGCGGCGAAGGCGGCGCUCUGGGCCGGUACUGACACUGAGGAGCGAAAGCGUGGGUAGCAAACAGG
rnacentral:rRNA from 1 species